rnacentral:rRNA from 1 species
UUAAGCGACUAAGCGUACACGGUGGAUGCCCUGGCAGUCAGAGGCGAUGAAGGACGUGCUAAUCUGCGAAAAGCGUCGGUAAGGUGAUAUGAACCGUUACAGCCGGCGAUGUCCGAAUGGGGAAACCCAGUGUGAUUCGUCACACUAUCGUUAACUGAAUACAUAGGUUAACGAGGCGAACCGGGGGAACUGAAACAUCUAAGUACCCCGAGGAAAAGAAAUCAACCGAGAUUCCCCCAGUAGCGGCGAGCGAACGGGGAGCAGCCCAGAGUCUGAAUCAGCUUGUGUGUUAGUGGAACGGUCUGGAAAGUCCGACGGUACAGGGUGAUAGUCCCGUACACCAAAAUGCACAGGCUGUGAACUCGAAGAGUAGGGCGGGACACGUGGUAUCCUGUCUGAAUAUGGGGGGACCAUCCUCCAAGGCUAAAUACUCCUGACUGACCGAUAGUGAACCAGUACCGUGAGGGAAAGGCGAAAAGAACCCCGGCGAGGGGAGUGAAAAAGAACCUGAAACCGUGUACGUACAAGCAGUGGGAGCACCUUCGGGUGUGACUGCGUACCUUUUGUAUAAUGGGUCAGCGACUUAUAUUCUGUAGCAAGGUUAACCGUAUAGGGGAGCCGCAGGGAAACCGAGUCUUAACUGGGCGUUAAGUUGCAGGGUAUAGACCCGAAACCCGGUGAUCUAGCCAUGGGCAGGUUGAAGGUUGGGUAACACUAACUGGAGGACCGAACCGACUAAUGUUGAAAAAUUAGCGGAUGACUUGUGGCUGGGGGUGAAAGGCCAAUCAAACCGGGAGAUAGCUGGUUCUCCCCGAAAGCUAUUUAGGUAGCGCCUCGUGAAUUCAUCUUCGGGGGUAGAGCACUGUUUCGGCUAGGGGGUCAUCCCGACUUACCAACCCGAUGCAAACUACGAAUACCGAAGAAUGUUAUCACGGGAGACACACGGCGGGUGCUAACGUCCGUCGUGAAGAGGGAAACAACCCAGACCGCCAGCUAAGGUCCCAAAGUCAUGGUUAAGUGGGAAACGAUGUGGGAAGGCACAGACAGCCAGGAUGUUGGCUUAGAAGCAGCCAUCAUUUAAAGAAAGCGUAAUAGCUCACUGGUCGAGUCGGCCUGCGCGGAAGAUGUAACGGGGCUAAACCAUGCACCGAAGCUGCGGCAGCGACACUAUGUGUUGUUGGGUAGGGGAGCGUUCUGUAAGCCUGCGAAGGUGUGCUGUGAGGCAUGCUGGAGGUAUCAGAAGUGCGAAUGCUGACAUAAGUAACGAUAAAGCGGGUGAAAAGCCCGCUCGCCGGAAGACCAAGGGUUCCUGUCCAACGUUAAUCGGGGCAGGGUGAGUCGACCCCUAAGGCGAGGCCGAAAGGCGUAGUCGAUGGGAAACAGGUUAAUAUUCCUGUACUUGGUGUUACUGCGAAGGGGGGACGGAGAAGGCUAUGUUAGCCGGGCGACGGUUGUCCCGGUUUAAGCAUGUAGGCUGGUUGUCCAGGCAAAUCCGGAUAAUCAAGGCUGAGGUGUGAUGACGAGGUACUACGGUGCUGAAGUAACAAAUGCCCUGCUUCCAGGAAAAGCCUCUAAGCAUCAGGUAACAUCAAAUCGUACCCCAAACCGACACAGGUGGUCAGGUAGAGAAUACCAAGGCGCUUGAGAGAACUCGGGUGAAGGAACUAGGCAAAAUGGUGCCGUAACUUCGGGAGAAGGCACGCUGGUGUGUAGGUGAAGUCCCUGCGGAUGGAGCUGAGACCAGUCGAAGAUACCAGCUGGCUGCAACUGUUUAUUAAAAACACAGCACUGUGCAAACACGAAAGUGGACGUAUACGGUGUGACGCCUGCCCGGUGCCGGAAGGUUAAUUGAUGGGGUUAUCCGUAAGGAGAAGCUCUUGAUCGAAGCCCCGGUAAACGGCGGCCGUAACUAUAACGGUCCUAAGGUAGCGAAAUUCCUUGUCGGGUAAGUUCCGACCUGCACGAAUGGCGUAAUGAUGGCCAGGCUGUCUCCACCCGAGACUCAGUGAAAUUGAACUCGCUGUGAAGAUGCAGUGUACCCGCGGCAAGACGGAAAGACCCCGUGAACCUUUACUAUAGCUUGACACUGAACAUUGAGCCUUGAUGUGUAGGAUAGGUGGGAGGCUUUGAAGCGUGGACGCCAGUCUGCGUGGAGCCAACCUUGAAAUACCACCCUUUAAUGUUUGAUGUUCUAACGUUGGCCCCUUACCGGGGUUGCGGACAGUGUCUGGUGGGUAGUUUGACUGGGGCGGUCUCCUCCCAAAGCGUAACGGAGGAGCACGAAGGUUAGCUAAUCCUGGUCGGACAUCAGGAGGUUAGUGCAAUGGCAUAAGCUAGCUUGACUGCGAGCGUGACGGCGCGAGCAGGUGCGAAAGCAGGUCAUAGUGAUCCGGUGGUUCUGAAUGGAAGGGCCAUCGCUCAACGGAUAAAAGGUACUCCGGGGAUAACAGGCUGAUACCGCCCAAGAGUUCAUAUCGACGGCGGUGUUUGGCACCUCGAUGUCGGCUCAUCACAUCCUGGGGCUGAAGUAGGUCCCAAGGGUAUGGCUGUUCGCCAUUUAAAGUGGUACGCGAGCUGGGUUUAGAACGUCGUGAGACAGUUCGGUCCCUAUCUGCCGUGGGCGCUGGAGAAUUGAGGGGGGCUGCUCCUAGUACGAGAGGACCGGAGUGGACGCAUCACUGGUGUUCGGGUUGUCAUGCCAAUGGCACUGCCCGGUAGCUAAAUGCGGAAGAGAUAAGUGCUGAAAGCAUCUAAGCACGAAACUUGCCCCGAGAUGAGUUCUCCCUGAGACUUUAAGUCUCCUGAAGGAACGUUAAAGACGAUGACGUUGAUAGGCCGGGUGUGUAAGCGCAGCGAUGCGUUGAGCUAACCGGUACUAAUGAACCGUGAGGCUUAACCU